UAAAAGUACGGGCUCACGGAGGAACAAAUGCUGCCACCCGGAGCUUAAGGCGUCCACCCAACAGAGCCGCAUAUAUACCAGGCUGGGUAGUGAACGGGGAAAUUGAAGGGAAUCCACCAAGACCUGAAAUUGAUGAGGAUACUCAGACAACCUUGGAGAGUUUCAGCAGAAUAGCGUCUGGAGGUGCAUUUGUGGUUUCAAAUGUUUCAACUCUUCCCUUGCCUGACCUGUACCCACCAAGUCAAAUCACAGACCUUGAGGCCACAUCUGAUGGGGAUGAGAUCAGUCUAACAUGGACAGCACCAGGAGAUGAUUAUGAUGUUGGAAAAGUUCAACAGUAUAUCAUAAGAACAAGUGGAAGUAUCCUGGAUCUAAGAGAUAAUUUUGAUGAUGUUCUGCAAGUAAACACUACUGAUCUGUUACCAAAGGAGGCCAAUUCCCAGGAAACCUUUGCAUUUAAACCAGGAAAUACCUCAGAAGAAAAUGCAACCCACAUAUUCAUUGCCAUUCAAAGUGUGGAUAAAAGCAAUUUGACAUCAAAAGUAUCCAACAUUGCACAAGUAGCUUUGUUUACUCCUCAAGCAGAUCCUAGUCCUGAUGAAACU